rnacentral:rRNA from 1 species
AUUGAACGCUGGCGGCAGGCCUAACACAUGCAAGUCGAGCGGAUGAGGGUAGCUUGCUAUCUGAUUCAGCGGCGGACGGGUGAGUAAUGCCUAGGAAUCUGCCUGGUAGUGGGGGGCAACGUUUCGAAAGGAACGCUAAUACCGCAUACGUCCUACGGGAGAAAGUGGGGGAUCUUCGGACCUCACGCUAUCAGAUGAGCCUAGGUACGAUUAGCUAGUUGGUGAGGUAAAGGCUCACCAAGGCGACGAUCGUUAACUGGUCUGAGAGGAUGAUAAGUCACACUGGAACUGAGACACGGUCCAGACUCCUACGGGAGGUAGCAGUGGGGAAUAUUGGACAAUGGGCGAAAGCCUGAGCCAGCCAUGCCGCGUGUGUGAAGAAGGUCUUCGGAUUGUAAAGCACUUUAAGUUGGGAGGAAGGGCAGUAAGUUAAUACCUUGCUGUUUUGACGUUACCGACAGAAUAAGCACCGGCUAACUUCGUGCCAGCCGCCGCCGUAAUAC